CAAUAGCGUAUACUAAAGUUGUUGCAGUUAAAAAGCUCGUAGUUGGAUUUCUGGUGGGAGCACGGGUCGGCCCUCACGGGUUGUACUGUUGUUGCGUCCUGCCGUUUCGGAGGGAAUGGCCUCGCUAUUAAGUUAGCGUGGUCGGGAACUCUGUCGUUUACUGUGAAAAAAUUAGAGUGUUCAAAGCAGGCCUUCGCUGUGAAUACAUUAGCAUGGAAUAAUAAGAUAGGACUUUGGUACUAUUUUGUUGGUUGCGCACCAAAGUAAUGAUUAAUAGGGACAGUUGGGGGUAUUCGUAUUCCGUUGUCAGAGGUGAAAUUCUUGGAUUUACGGAAGACGAACUACUGCGAAAGCAUUUACCAAGGAUGUUUUCAUUAAUCAAGAACGAAAGUUAGGGGAUCGAAGACGAUCAGAU
rnacentral:rRNA from 1 species